ACCCUGUCCAGCCCAACAACCGAAACCACCCUGGCCCAAUUACAACUAUCUGACCCGGCCCACAUUAUAAUCUUCCCUUUUUACCCGUACAAUACAGCAACAUCAGCAAUACAAGUAACAACAACCCAGUUUCUAUUCAACAAUAUCAACCAACAACACCGAGCCACCCUCAGACCACCGAACAAUGGCGAACAUCAGUGAGUUUCUCUCCUCCUCCACUGCAAACCUCUGAAAAGGGGGUAGUUGUAGGUUCAAUGGUCUUUGGUCCAUUCUUGACAGACAAAGAGCUUGCCUUUCUUGAAAAACUCAAGCCUACUAUAUCAAAAUUUCAAUCAAAGUCUCAAUCUUUCUAAAAAUAUGAUUUUCCUUCACCAAACUAUCACCAUUUCAAAUUCUCAAGGAUCUUCCAAGGAGCCGUUCCAUUUUUUGCCUAUAAAAGGGGGCUCUUUUUCACCUUGAGGAGGGUUCAAGUGGUAGAAAAUUGGGGAAUUUUUGAGCCUACCAUACUCUUUCACUCAUUAAGCUUUCUUUAUUUUAUAGUUUCCGAUUAUCCUUUCUAUACUCUCAUUGAUUUUCAUCAUUCGUAUUCGACUUCGUGUUCGAAUCUUCGACGGGAAAGCCUUAGUUUGCUGCCCCACACAAGACCCGAAUUCUAGUUGCUGUUGUUGAGUCGAGAUCGUGUCGUGUUGAUCAUCCGGAGAUAGGGUGAGCUCUUGGAGUUCGACUUGCCCUCUUUUCCUUCCAUCUUUACUUAUCUUUUGUAUUCGAGAGAAUUGUAUAAGACUAAUUAAGUUGUGAGACUUCGAAUUGUAAUUUCUGUUGUCAGAUUUAGAGUUGCUCUUGUACUUAUACUAUCAAGUCAUCGGAUUGGUAUUCGAAUGUUAGUUAUUUCGUUUUUGGAA